ACAUCAGUGGUGAAACGGUUAUCAUGCCUGCCUUCCAUUGGCAGGAGACAUAAUGUUUGUUAGCAGGCGGCGGGGGUUCGACUCCCUCCUGAUGUA
rfam:Fistulina hepatica ATCC 64428 unplaced genomic scaffold FISHEscaffold_354, whole genome shotgun sequence.